GUGCUGGCGCAGCCUGAUCCAGCCAUGCCGCGUGCGGGAAGAAGGCCUUCGGGUUGUAAACCGCUUUUGUCAGGGAAGAAAAGGUUCUGGUUAAUACCUGGGACUCAUGACGGUACCUGAAGAAUAAGCACCGGCUAACUACGUGCCAGCAGCCGCGGUAAUACGUAGGGUGCAAGCGUUAAUCGGAAUUACUGGGCGUAAAGCGUGCGCAGGCGGUUAUGCAAGACAGAGGUGAAAUCCCCGGGCUCAACCUGGGAACUGCCUUUGUGACUGCAUGGCUAGAGUACGGUAGAGGGGGAUGGAAUUCCGCGUGUAGCAGUGAAAUGCGUAAAUAUGCGGAGGAACACCGAUGGCGAAGGCAAUCCCCUGGACCUGUACUGACGCUCAUGCACGAAAGCGUGGGGAGCAAACAGGAUUAGAUACCCUGGUAGUCCACGCCCUAAACGAUGUCAACUGGUUGUUGGGAGGGUUUCUUCUCAGUAACGUAGCUAACGCGUGAAGUUGACCGCCUGGGGAGUACGGCCGCAAGGUUGAAACUCAAUGAAAAUUUUGACGGG
rnacentral:rRNA from 1 species